GGGCCAUUAGCUCAGCUGGUAGAGCAACAGACUCUUAAUCUGUGGGUCACAAGUUCGAACCUUGUAUGGCUCA
rnacentral:tRNA from 1 species